GUGGGGAAUUUUGGACAAUGGGCGCAAGCCUGAUCCAGCAAUGCCGCGUGCAGGAAGAAGGCCUUCGGGUUGUAAACUGCUUUUGUACGGAACGAAACGGUCCGGGUUAAUACCCUGGGCUAAUGACGGUACCGUAAGAAUAAGCACCGGCUAACUACGUGCCAGCAGCCGCGGUAAUACGUAGGGUGCAAGCGUUAAUCGGAAUUACUGGGCGUAAAGCGUGCGCAGGCGGUUUUGUAAGACAGGCGUGAAAUCCCCGGGCUCAACCUGGGAAUUGCGCUUGUGACUGCAAGGCUGGGGUGCGGCAGAGGGUGAUGGAAUUCCGCGUGUAGCAGUGAAAUGCGUAGAUAUGCGGAGGAACACCGAUGGCGAAGGCAAUCCCCUGGGCCUGCACUGACGCUCAUGCACGAAAGCGUGGGGAGCAAACAGGAUUAGAUACCCGAGUAGUCC
rnacentral:rRNA from 1 species